GCGGCCCAGCAUGGGCGGGGCGCUUGCAGGUCCCUCCCCGCGCAGGUGCUCGCCCCGCCCCCGGGGCCGUGCCCACAGUCCCGGCGGCCCUGGAGAAGCCUGAAUUGAGAACCCUUUCUGCAGUGUCCCGCCAGUGCGGGACUCCGGUAGCCGCCCCUCCGGUAGCCACCCCUCCUGCCCCUGCGCCGCCGCCCUAUAUGUUGCCCGCCGCGGCCUCUGGGGCAUGGAGCACGCUGCCCAGCCCUGGCGAUGGCAACGGCGACUGGGGUGGCGGAGGAGCGCCUGCUGGCCGCGCUCGCCUACCUGCAGUGCGCCGUGGGCUGCGCGGUCUUCGCGCGGAAUCGUCAGACGAACUCGGUGUACGGCCGCCACGCGCCGCCCAGCCACAGGCUCCGAGUGCCGGCGCGGGCCGCCUGGGUGGUGCAGGAGCUGCCCUCGCUGGUCCUGCCGCUCUACCAGUACGCCAACGAGUCCGCCCCGCGCCUCCGCAGCGCGCCCAACUGCAUCCUCCUGGCCAUGUUCCUCGUCCACUACGGGCAUCGGUGCUUAAUUUACCCAUUUCUGAUGCGAGGAGGAAAGCCUAUGCCACUGCUGGCAUGUGCAAUGGCGAUUAUGUUCUGUACCUGUAACGGCUACUUGCAAAGCAGAUACUUGAGCCAUUGUGCAGUGUAUGCUGAUGACUGGGUAACAGAUCCCCGUUUUCUAAUAGAGGAAGAACAGGCUUUUGAGUUCCUGUGCAGAUCACGUGAUUUAUGCCUCCCCAUGUUCUCUGAGGCAGAAAGGAUGCCCAUAAGAUGUGAAAGGUCAGAAGAGUUACACAGCUGGCCCAAGACAUCUAGACACACUGAAUGGCAGAGCGGUGAUUUCCACCACCUCACCAAGCUGAGUGUCCACAAGUGGUUUUGGCUUGUGGUUAACGGGCAUGUUGAUAAACAUCCAUUCAGAUCAUAUCCUAAGGAAUCUCAGAAAACCAGGAGACACUGGAUACAAAAUACCAAGGGGAGGCUUAUUUGAAUACGUAACUGCAGCCAACUAUUUCGGAGAAAUCAUGGAGUGGUGUGGCUAUGCCCUGGCCAGCUGGUCUGUCCAAGGCGCGGCUUUUGCUUUCUUCACGUUUUGUUUUUUAGCUGGUAGAGCAAAAGAGCAUCAUGAGUGGUACCUCCGGAAAUUUGAAGAGUAUCCAAAGUUCAGAAAAAUUAUAAUUCCAUUUUUAUUUUAAGUGCAUUUUCAAUGAAAUUAUCUUCAACUGGAAGCUUUCCAGUGGCGCUUCUCUAUGGACUUUGUAAAUAAGUUAUAUCUUUGUAAUUUUCCUGCUACUUCAUCAUUUUCAAGAUAUCCGCUAGGAAUUUUUUUUCUAGUAAUUUUGCAAACUACCUAAUAAGUACCUAAAUACACUGAAACGGAGGUUGAAUAUCCUACCGUGUAACAGGUCAGAAUUUCAAGCUCUGGGUAAUAACUGCUGACAUUUUUUCUAAUUUCGAAUUUACCUCUUUUGGCUAUGUCUUGCCAAGUGUGUAUAAGACUAGACUUUACAACUGUCUUUGAUGGCAUUUUCAGAACAAUAAAUGUCACAAUCCCUUCUAUAGCCCCCUACAGUGAUCCCUUCAAGGUCAAUGGCAGUGUUGCUUCCCUCCCUCUGUAGGGCUGGGAUCUGUCUUGGAGCCCUCUCUGGGAGGCCACAGAGGCUGGGGGUUGCCAUUGUGCAGUCAUGACCCGGGGGAAACUUGCCAACCUUCGUGUCAGGUGCUGUGUGUAAGCGGAGAACUUGGGGAUGGAGGAGGAAGCUCCUCGUGGCCCUUCCAAGGCGAGGCAAAAACAUCUGGAUUUGUUCCAGCCCAGCCCACCAGGUGACAUCACCAGGCAGGGAAGCGUGCUGGUGGUGGUUCAUACGGAGUAAGCUGCUCUGCCUGUGCGAGAGGCUCCUGGGCCCUAAACAGGCACCUUUAGGCCAUGGGUCACUCACCAUGAGCCAUCAAUAUGCUCUGGUCUGACAUGGUUUCUCUCUGUCUUCUAGUCUAGACCUAGUUUUUUGUUCUGUUCCCCACAUAUGGAUAUAGUAGAGAUUGUUGUCUGUGAAAUUUCUCCUUUGUAGAUUUGGAGUUUUCCCUUGUAGUGUAAAGAAUGAUCACUUUCUGUAACAAUAACAAGACCACUUGUUAAGAUUUAUCCUGUUUGUUCUUUGUUGAUUGAAACAUAAUAAUUAUACUGUUAAACUUCUCUACAGCCUUCUUUUUGUUCCAUAGCUAAUCUUCCUUCUAAUAGUUUUUGCUUUCUGUUUUGCUGUUGUUGCUUUGCAAAGCUUUCCCCUCAUAGCCUGUACCUGUUAUCAGUAUAAAAUAAUCUUCCUGUUGAAUGCUUCAUGACUUGAAUUCUACUUUGAUAAAAACAUUGCCAUACUGCUUUUUAUCUUGAUGAAUUCAUCUGGCAUUGCUUUGCCUUAUCAUCUCAUCUGGAGUUUUUAAAUGCCAUUUGUUUCAGUUGUCUUUAACAACAUAAUAAAUAGACUUUGCCAUUUAA